GACGAACGCUGGCGGCGUGCUUAAUACAUGCAAGUCGAACGGAAAGGCGCUGCGUUUGUGGGGUGCUCGAGUGGCGAACGGGGGAGUAACACGUGAGUAACCUGCCCCUGACAUAGGGAUAACUUCUGGGAACUGGGGCUAAUACCGGAGAGGAGCUCCUGCUGCGUGGUGUGGGUUGGAAAGUUUCGGCGGUUGGGGAUGGACUCGCGGCUUAUCAGCUUGUUGGUGGGGUAGUGGCUUACCAGGGCUUCGACGGGUAGCCGGCCUGAGAGGGUGACCGGCGACAUUGGGACUGCGAUACGGCCCAGACUCCUACGGGAGGCAGCAGUGGGGAAUAUUGCACAAUGGGCGGAAGCCUGAUGCAGCAACGCCGCGUGCGGGAUGACGGCCUUCGGGUUGUAAACCGCUUUCGCCUGUGACGAAGAGUGAGUGACGGUAAUGGGUAAAGAAGCACCGGCUAACUACGUG
rnacentral:rRNA from 1 species